rnacentral:rRNA from 1 species
CAAUAGCGUAUAUUAAAGCUGUUGCAGUUAAAAAGCUCGUAGUUGGAUCUCGGGCGCGGGCCUGCGGUCCUGGCUCGUGUCAGGUACUGCUCGUCCCGGCCUACCUUCUGGUCGUCCCUUGGUGCCCUUGAUCGGGUGUCUCGGGUGGCCGGAACGUUUACUUUGAAAAAUUAGAGUGUUCAAAGCAGGCCCCGGUGCCUGAAUAAUGGUGCAUGGAAUAAUAGAAGAGGACCUCGGUUCUAUUCUGUUGGUCUUCGGAUCGCGAGGUAAUGAUUGAGAGGGACUGCCGGGGGCGAUUCGUAUUACGGUGGUUAGAGGUGAAAUUACUUGGAUCGCCGUAAGACGAACUACUGCGAAAGACAUUUGUCCAAGAAAUGUUUUUCUAUUAAUUCAAGAACGAAAGUAC